AAAGAAGAGAACAUUCUCGUCACUCUAGGCGUUGGCCAUGACACAACCGCCGAGGAACGCCUUAAUCGAACAAUUCCGAACACAAAAUUCUACGGAGCCGACCCAAUAAUUGAGCCAAACCGUCAAAUGUACUCGGCUUUCGGGAAAUUCUUCCCAUUUGCCAUUGGGAAGGAGCCGGGAUUCACGAAAUUCCGUGUUUUACCGAAUCAAAGUCAGAAGACACGGAAAUAUGUGUAUCAGGAUGUCACCACAAUUCCGUUUGUGUACUUUUUACACGAUAUUCUCAAGUUGCAGG
rnacentral:sRNA from 1 species